rnacentral:rRNA from 1 species
UACGUAGGGGGCGAGCGUUGUCCGAAGUUACUGGGCGUAAAGCGCGCGUAGGCGGUCCCUUAAGUCUGAGGUGAAAGGUUCGGCGCUCAACGUGAACAGUGCCUUGGAGACUGGGGGGACUUGAGUGUGGGAGGGGGGCAGUGGAAUUCCUGGUGUAGCGGUGAAAUGCGUAGAUAUCAGGAGGAACACCGAUGGCGAAGGCAGGCU